rnacentral:rRNA from 1 species
UGGGCAACCUGCCCCUCCCUCUGGGAUAACCCCGGGAAACCGGAGCUAAUACCGGAUACUCCGGCUGGAUCGCAUGGUCCGGCCGGGAAAGGUCCGCCGGAGAGGGAUGGGCCCGCGGCCUAUCAGCUUGUUGGUGGGGUCAUGGCUCACCAAGGCGACGACGGGUAGCUGGUCUGAGAGGACGACCAGCCACACUGGAACUGAGACACGGUCCAGACUCCGUACGGGAGGCA